rnacentral:rRNA from 1 species
GACGAACGCUGGCGGCGUGCUUAACACAUGCAAGUCGAACGCUGAAGCUCAGCUUUUGUUGGGUGGAUGAGUGGCGAACGGGUGAGUAACACGUGAGUAACCUGCCUCCUUCUUUGGGAUAACGCCCGGAAACGGGUGCUAAUACUGGAUAUUCACUGGUCUUCGCAUGGGGGUUGGUGGCAAGGGUUUUUCUGGUGGGGGAUGGGCUCGCGGCCUAUCAGCUUGUUGGUGGGGUGAUGGCCUACCAAGGCUUUGACGGGUAGCCGGCCUGAGAGGGUGACCGGUCACAUUGGGACUGAGAUACGGCCCAGACUCCUACGGGAGGCAGCAGUGGGGAAUAUUGCACAAUGGGCGCAAGCCUGAUGCAGCGACGCCGCGUGAGGGAUGGAGGCCUUCGGGUUGUGAACCUCUUUCGCUCAUGGUCAAGCCGCAACAAUGGUUGUGGUGAGGGUAGUGGGUAAAGAAGCGCCGGCUAACUACGU